rnacentral:rRNA from 1 species
CAGCUCAAAUUUGAAAUCUGGCUUCGGCCCGAGUUGUAAUUUGCAGAGGAUGUUUAUGGUGCGGUACCUUCCGAGUUCCCUGGAACGGGACGCCACAGAGGGUGAGAGCCCCGUCUGGUUGGAUACCAAACCUGUGUUAAACUCCUUCAACGAGUCGAGUAGUUUGGGAAUGCUGCUCUAAAUGGGAGGUAAAUCUCUUCUAAAGCUAAAUACCGGCCAGAGACCGAUAGCGCACAAGUAGAGUGAUCGAAAGAUGAAAAGCACCUUGAAAAGGGGGUUAAACAGUACGUGAAAUUGUUAAAAGGGAAGCGUUUAUGACCAGACUUGUGUCGUGUGGCUCAUCCGAGGUUCUCCCCGGUGCACUCCACACGGCUCAGGCCAACAUCGGUUCUCGUUGGGGGAUAAGAACAGUAGGAACGUGGCCCUCUUCGGAGGGUGUUAUAGCCUGCUGUACGAUACCCUGAUGGGGACCGAGGACCGCGCUUCGGCUAGGAUGUUGGCGUAAUGGUCAUUAGCGACCCGUCUUGAAACACGGACCAAGGAGUCGUCCAUUAGAGCGAGUGU